GGGGGGGGCGGGGGGGGGGGCGAGGGCAGGCGGGUCGGGCGGACAGACGGGGAGCUUGCGCCUCUGACGUUGGCGGCGGACGGGUGAGUAACACGUGGAUAACCUACCUAUAAGACUGGGAUAACUUCGGGAAACCGGAGCUAAUACCGGAUAAUAUAUUGAACCGCAUGGUUCAAUAGUGAAAGACGGAUUUGCUGUCACUUAUAGAUGGAUCCGCGCCGCAUUAGCUAGUUGGUAAGGUAACGGCUUACCAAGGCAACGAUGCGUAGCCGACCUGAGAGGGUGAUCGGCCACACUGGAACUGAGACACGGUCCAGACUCCUACGGGAGGCAGCAGUAGGGAAUCUUCCGCAAUGGGCGAAAGCCUGACGGAGCAACGCCGCGUGAGUGAUGAAGGUCUUCGGAUCGUAAAACUCUGUUAUUAGGGAAGAACAAAUGUGUAAGUAACUAUGCACGUCUUGACGGUACCUAAUCAGAAAGCCACGGCUAACUACGUG
rnacentral:rRNA from 1 species